GAUGAACGCUGGCGGCGUGCCUAAUACAUGCAAGUCGAGCGAACAGACGAGGAGCUUGCUCCUCUGACGUUAGCGGCGGACGGGUGAGUAACACGUGGAUAACCCACCUAUAAGACUGGGAUCACUUCGGGAAACCGGAGCUAAUCCCGGAUAAUAUAUUGAACCGCAUGGUUCAAUAGUGAAAGACGGUUUUGCUGUCACUUAUAGCUGGAUCUGCGCCGCAUUAGCUAGUUGUUAAGGUAACGGCUUACCAAGGCGACGAUGCGUAGCCGACCUGAGAGGGGGAUCGGCCACACUGGAAGUGAGACACGGUCCAGACUCCUACGGGAGGCAGCAGUAGGGAAUCUUCCGCAAUGGGCGAAAGCCUGACGGAGCAACGCCGCGUGAGUGAUGAAGAUCUUCGGAGCGUAAAACUCUGUUAUUAGGGAAGAACAAAUGUGUAAGUAACUAUGCACGUCUUGACGGUACCUAAUCAGAAAGCCACGGCUAACUACGUG
rnacentral:rRNA from 1 species